AGAAUAGAAGGGACUACUGAGACAACCGAUACUGGUUAGCUGGAGCUAAGAUAUUAGCGGUGAUUAAGAAGAGACCAGCAUCACUGAGGUGAAAUCUUUUGAGAAGUGUUUUCUGAGAGCACAAAGAAGCUGUGUUCCAGAGAUACCCAAGGUUAUACCUCAUGCUGCAGCUGGACUUGGUUCUGAAUGCUUGGUCCCCAGAGUAUGGCAUAAGUCUGGGAGGUGAUCGGCUCUAGCUGGACUAAGUCACUGAAUGUACCUUCAAAAGUUGUAUGUAGUCCCUGGUCCUGUUCACUUUGCUCUGCUUCCAAUCUGCCAUGAGUGAUUCCUUGGUGGCAUUGGGGUCUUUCAGUGGUGAAGAAACAGGAAGAAUUCCCAGGAGACCUUGACAUGGGUAGACCCAGAGGUAACCACAAGUAUGGCAGUUGCAGAGAGGACUCACAGCAAUUGUGUCAGCAUGUACAGGACCUGCACAAGUUCAAGACAGACAUACCACUGCAUAAAAGGAAGAAAGGAGAAUGAAGCUCCAUCCAUAGCUGCGGAGCUAUUGUGGAUGCUGAGCAACCCAAUGAUAGCUACAUGAAUCCCGAGGGAGAAAAGAACAUGGCAGCUACCCAGCCCACGAAGCUCUAAGCCUAGGAGAUCCCAACCUGGAACUGAAUGUCUGGGAGCUCCACAGAGGGUGGGUGAUUUUCAAUCCACAGUAGAAUGGCAAAGAAGCUGGAGUCUGAUGUCAGCAGAGGCUCCUGCAACAACUGAUAUACUCAGUGUGAAGCAAGGAAGGCGCAUGAAUGCUGCCUGUGUUUGGGCUUCUUUAUAGCCAGGUCCAGAGGAUGCUGCUGCUUACUUUGAAGACAGGGCACAUCCCUUGUUAAUGCUUUCGAGGAAAGCCCUCACAGGCACACCUGAAAAUAUGUUCCUUGAUAAUUCUAAAUCCUGCCAGGUUAACAUCGAGACAAAUCAUCACAGAUUCGGAACCUGAUUGUAGAUCUGGCAAAAUUAUUACUGUUUUGAUUAGAAAAAAAUGAGUAUUGUACAAUGUAAUAUUUUGGGAAUUUCUGGAUGCUCUAAAAUAUGCACAGUUCUUGCUGACCUGAGGACUUAGUUUUAGUUCCUAUACAACUGCACACUUCUGGACAUACCAUUAAAUUUUCUAUGAUUAAACCUCAAAAAUUAGCAGUUUUAUAUGGCCUAUUCAUAUAGUUUGACGAAAAAUGUUGCCUUUCGUGUCUCUAGCUGCA